rnacentral:rRNA from 1 species
GAUGAACGCUGGCGGCGUGCUUAACACAUGCAAGUCGAACGGAAAGGCCCAAGCUUGCUUGGGUACUCGAGUGGCGAACGGGUGAGUAACACGUGGGUGAUCUGCCCUGCACUUCGGGAUAAGCCUGGGAAACUGGGUCUAAUACCGGAUAGGACCACAUUUUGGAUGGUGUGGUGGAAAGUUUUUCGGUGUGGGAUGAGCUCGCGGCCUAUCAGCUUGUUGGUGGGGUAAUGGCCUACCAAGGCGUCGACGGGUAGCCGGCCUGAGAGGGUGUACGGCCACAUUGGGACUGAGGUACGGCCCAGACUCCUACGGGAGGCAGCAGUGGGGAAUAUUGCACAAUGGGCGCAAGCCUGAUGCAGCGACGCCGCGUGGGGGAUGACGGCCUUCGGGUUGUAAACUCCUUUCGCUAGGGACGAAGCGUUUUUGUGACGGUACCUGGAGAAGAAGCACCGGCUAACUACG